GGGUUGUGAGGUUAAGCGACUAAGCGUACACGGUGGAUGCCCUGGCAGUCAGAGGCGAUGAAGGACGUGCUAAUCUGCGAAAAGCGUCGGUAAGGUGAUAUGAACCGUUACAGCCGGCGAUGUCCGAAUGGGGAAACCCAGUGCAAUUCGUUGCACUAUCGUUAACUGAAUACAUAGGUUAACGAGGCGAACCGGGGGAACUGAAACAUCUAAGUACCCCGAGGAAAAGAAAUCAACCGAGAUUCCCCCAGUAGCGGCGAGCGAACGGGGAGCAGCCCAGAGUCUGAAUCAGCUUGUGUGUUAGUGGAACGGUCUGGAAAGUCCGACGGUACAGGGUGAUAGUCCCGUACACCAAAAUGCACAGGCUGUGAACUCGAAGAGUAGGGCGGGACACGUGGUAUCCUGUCUGAAUAUGGGGGGACCAUCCUCCAAGGCUAAAUACUCCUGACUGACCGAUAGUGAACCAGUACCGUGAGGGAAAGGCGAAAAGAACCCCGGCGAGGGGAGUGAAAAAGAACCUGAAACCGUGUACGUACAAGCAGUGGGAGCACCUUCGGGUGUGACUGCGUACCUUUUGUAUAAUGGGUCAGCGACUUAUAUUCUGUAGCAAGGUUAACCGUAUAGGGGAGCCGCAGGGAAACCGAGUCUUAACUGGGCGUUAAGUUGCAGGGUAUAGACCCGAAACCCGGUGAUCUAGCCAUGGGCAGGUUGAAGGUUGGGUAACACUAACUGGAGGACCGAACCGACUAAUGUUGAAAAAUUAGCGGAUGACUUGUGGCUGGGGGUGAAAGGCCAAUCAAACCGGGAGAUAGCUGGUUCUCCCCGAAAGCUAUUUAGGUAGCGCCUCGUGAACUCAUCUUCGGGGGUAGAGCACUGUUUCGGCUAGGGGGUCAUCCCGACUUACCAACCCGAUGCAAACUACGAAUACCGAAGAAUGUUAUCACGGGAGACACACGGCGGGUGCUAACGUCCGUCGUGAAGAGGGAAACAACCCAGACCGCCAGCUAAGGUCCCAAAGUCAUGGUUAAGUGGGAAACGAUGUGGGAAGGCACAGACAGCCAGGAUGUUGGCUUAGAAGCAGCCAUCAUUUAAAGAAAGCGUAAUAGCUCACUGGUCGAGUCGGCCUGCGCGGAAGAUGUAACGGGGCUAAACCAUGCACCGAAGCUGCGGCAGCGACACUAUGUGUUGUUGGGUAGGGGAGCGUUCUGUAAGCCUGCGAAGGUGUGCUGUGAGGCAUGCUGGAGGUAUCAGAAGUGCGAAUGCUGACAUAAGUAACGAUAAAGCGGGUGAAAAGCCCGCUCGCCGGAAGACCAAGGGUUCCUGUCCAACGUUAAUCGGGGCAGGGUGAGUCGACCCCUAAGGCGAGGCCGAAAGGCGUAGUCGAUGGGAAACAGGUUAAUAUUCCUGUACUUGGUGUUACUGCGAAGGGGGGACGGAGAAGGCUAUGUUAGCCGGGCGACGGUUGUCCCGGUUUAAGCAUGUAGGCUGGUUGUCCAGGCAAAUCCGGAUAAUCAAGGCUGAGGUGUGAUGACGAGGCACUACGGUGCUGAAGUAACAAAUGCCCUGCUUCCAGGAAAAGCCUCUAAGCAUCAGGUAACAUCAAAUCGUACCCCAAACCGACACAGGUGGUCAGGUAGAGAAUACCAAGGCGCUUGAGAGAACUCGGGUGAAGGAACUAGGCAAAAUGGUGCCGUAACUUCGGGAGAAGGCACGCUGGUGUGUAGGUGAAGUCCCUGCGGAUGGAGCUGAGACCAGUCGAAGAUACCAGCUGGCUGCAACUGUUUAUUAAAAACACAGCACUGUGCAAACACGAAAGUGGACGUAUACGGUGUGACGCCUGCCCGGUGCCGGAAGGUUAAUUGAUGGGGUUAUCCGUAAGGAGAAGCUCUUGAUCGAAGCCCCGGUAAACGGCGGCCGUAACUAUAACGGUCCUAAGGUAGCGAAAUUCCUUGUCGGGUAAGUUCCGACCUGCACGAAUGGCGUAAUGAUGGCCAGGCUGUCUCCACCCGAGACUCAGUGAAAUUGAACUCGCUGUGAAGAUGCAGUGUACCCGCGGCAAGACGGAAAGACCCCGUGAACCUUUACUAUAGCUUGACACUGAACAUUGAGCCUUGAUGUGUAGGAUAGGUGGGAGGCUUUGAAGCGUGGACGCCAGUCUGCGUGGAGCCAACCUUGAAAUACCACCCUUUAAUGUUUGAUGUUCUAACGUUGGCCCCUGACCGGGGUUGCGGACAGUGUCUGGUGGGUAGUUUGACUGGGGCGGUCUCCUCCCAAAGCGUAACGGAGGAGCACGAAGGUUAGCUAAUCCUGGUCGGACAUCAGGAGGUUAGUGCAAUGGCAUAAGCUAGCUUGACUGCGAGCGUGACGGCGCGAGCAGGUGCGAAAGCAGGUCAUAGUGAUCCGGUGGUUCUGAAUGGAAGGGCCAUCGCUCAACGGAUAAAAGGUACUCCGGGGAUAACAGGCUGAUACCGCCCAAGAGUUCAUAUCGACGGCGGUGUUUGGCACCUCGAUGUCGGCUCAUCACAUCCUGGGGCUGAAGUAGGUCCCAAGGGUAUGGCUGUUCGCCAUUUAAAGUGGUACGCGAGCUGGGUUUAGAACGUCGUGAGACAGUUCGGUCCCUAUCUGCCGUGGGCGCUGGAGAAUUGAGGGGGGCUGCUCCUAGUACGAGAGGACCGGAGUGGACGCAUCACUGGUGUUCGGGUUGUCAUGCCAAUGGCACUGCCCGGUAGCUAAAUGCGGAAGAGAUAAGUGCUGAAAGCAUCUAAGCACGAAACUUGCCCCGAGAUGAGUUCUCCCUGAGACUUUAAGUCUCCUGAAGGAACGUUGAAGACGACGACGUUGAUAGGCCGGGUGUGUAAGCGCAGCGAUGCGUUGAGCUAACCGGUACUAAUGAACCGUGAGGCUUAACCUUACAACGCCGAAG
rnacentral:rRNA from 1 species